rnacentral:tRNA from 2 species
GUUUCUGUGGUGUAUAACAGCACACUAAAUUUUCAUUUUAGAAGAAUAAAACAAUUUAUCAGAAAUA